rnacentral:rRNA from 1 species
GAUGAACGCUAGCGGCAGGCUUAAUACAUGCAAGUCGUGGGCAGCGCAGUGUAGCAAUACAUGGGCGGCGACCGGCAAACGGGUGCGUAACACGUACGCAACCUUCCCGUUACUGGGGAAUAGCCCCGGGAAACUUGGAUUAAUACCCAAUAUUAUAUUUAUUGGGCAUAUAAUUAAUAUCCAAGCUUCGGCGGUAACGGAUGGGGGUGCGGUUGAGUAGGUAGUUGGCGGGGUAACGGCCAACCAAGACUACGAUCAAUAGCUGAUGUGAGAGCAUGAUCAGCCACACGGGCACUGAGACACGGGCCCGACUCCUACGGGAGGCAGCAGUAAGGAAUAUUGGGCAAUGGACGAAAGUCUGACCCAGCCGUGCCGCGUGGAGGAUGAAGGUCCUCUGGAUUGUAAACUUCUUUUUUCUGGGGCGAAAACCGGUUUUUCUAAACCAUUUGACAGUACCAGAAGAAUAAGCACCGGCUAACUCCGUGCCAGCCGCCGCUGUAAUAC